UGGUUCUGGCAUCGAUGAAGAACGCAGCGAAAUGCGAUAAGUAAUGUGAAUUGCAGAAUUCAGUGAAUCAUCGAAUCUUUGAACGCACAUUGCGCCCUUUGGCAUUCCGAAGGGCAUGCCCGUUCGAGCGUCAUUAACUCCAAAUCAAGCCUGGCUUGGUAUUGGGCGUCGGGGGUCCCCCGCGCCUCAAUUUCACCGGCUGGCCGUCGCCCGUCUUAGCGUUGUGACACACCUCUCGCUACCGAUGGGACCGAACCAUGCCGUCAGAACCCCACGAAUUUCGAUCGAAAUUUGAUUAAGUUGACCUCGGAUCGGGUAGGAAUACCCGCUGA
rnacentral:misc_RNA from 1 species